AUUUUUAUGUGCUCCUCCAGGAUUUGUCACUUUAGUAGGUAUUUAGUAGGUAUAGUAUAUAACUUUACCUAUAUAGCAGUAUAUUUAGUAGGUGCCAACAUGUAUUUGUAUUUGUUGCCUAGAUAUAGUGGAGAGAUCGCUGCUAAUGUAUUUUCAAGAACUAACAGAAAGACCAACCAUGUUUCUGCUAUUACUGUCGAAAAGUUAUAACAGUAUCCACAAUCCAUAACAAAUAAUAACUCAAUUAUUUGGGGAAUUUAAAAGCAUUCUGGGAAGCAUUUAGUUACAGGAUCAAUCUUUUUCUAUACUUAACAAGUUUAAAUGAGAAUGAGGCCAGACUUUCUAUGGAUGUGUCUUUACUGGAUAGUAAGUUAUAUCUGCUCUGGAAUAUUUCUUAGCACUGAGACAGUUAACAUAUCUUACAAGUAAACAAUUACAUUUUUGGUAAAUGUUUUGAUUUUUUAUCAUGAUGCCAGCUUUUUUCUUUGGCUUGUGGUUUGUCAGCAGUUUGGAAUCCUUUUUCUGGAAUCCUAGAUCUUCUCUGUCACCCCUUGUUUCAAAGAAGCAAACGGAUGGCUGGAAAGGAAAUGGUCUCAUCAGCAUCAUUGCUCCAAAGAUUUGUUCUGCCAAAGAUGCCCCCCCACCUCCCACCUUGGGAAUCCAUUAGUGCUGUUCUGACAUUAACCUUGGAGGCACUGCAAGGAACCUCAGCUCGGGGAAGAAAGUCUCCCAGGAUGCUCUGCCCAUUCUCUGUCCCCUCAGUUCCAAAGAUACUGUAUACCCCCAACAUCUUCUUCCCCAGGUUUAUAUGUAAAUGUCCCCAGUUUUACCUUGAAACUCUCCUAUAGCUGUUUUUAUUUUUUUUAUAUUUUGGUUAUUCAUUGUAUGUUUCUGCCCUUAUAAGUAUUGAGCAGUCUCUUUCCCUUCAGGAGGUCAAAGUGAAUUUGCUAUACUCUUACCUGUCAGAGCUUUUUCUGAGAUUACAUCUCUCGCUUUAAGGUUGCCAUCUGCCAAUUGAACAAAUGUGUAUUUUUACCAGUGAAAACAAAUGACAUUCUCACUAAGACAAAACCCUUUGUCCCCAUAGGCCAAAGGUAAACAAUCUACAAGACUGAGAUCUAUUUCUGUUUAAAAAAAAUUCUUCAGAGUUUUCUAAUAUUUGUGGUCAUUUCACUUGGUUAAAGUUCUAUGAAUUUUAUAUUUGCAUUAUUCUUUCAAUGUGUGCAGUAUCCAGAUACUUCUAAAAGUGGUAGAAUAAAAAAUUGUUUUCUUGUUCUGAGUGGCCCUUU
rnacentral:lncRNA from 1 species